rfam:Aedes albopictus isolate Foshan contig33130, whole genome shotgun sequence.
CAUUUCGUGGUGUAGUUCGCAACGCGCCUAUCUAGUGAGUAGGAGUCGUGAAUUCGAGUCUCACCGAGAGGG